rnacentral:rRNA from 1 species
AUUGAACGCUGGCGGCAGGCCUAACACAUGCAAGUCGAGCGGAUGAAGGGAGCUUGCUCCUGGAUUCAGCGGCGGACGGGUGAGUAAUGCCUAGGAAUCUGCCUGGUAGUGGGGGACGACGUUUCGAAAGGAACGCUAAUACCGCAUACGUCCUACGGGAGAAAGCAGGGGACCUUCGGGCCUUGCGCUAUCAGAUGAGCCUAGGUCGGAUUAGCUUGUUGGGGAGGUAAUGGCUCACCAAGGCGACGAUCCGUAACCGGUCUGAGAGGAUGAUCAGUCACACUGGAACUGAGACACGGUCCAGACUCCUAUGGGAGGCAGCAGUGGGGAAUAUUGGACAAUGGGCGAAAGCCUGAUCCAGCCAUGCCGCGUGUGUGAAGAAGGUCUUCGGAUUGUAAAGCACUUUAAAUUUGGAGGAAGGGUUGUAGAUUAAUACUCUGCAAUUUUGACGUUACCGACAGAAUAAGCACCGGCUAACUCUGUGCCAGCCGCCGCGGUAAAAC